rnacentral:rRNA from 1 species
UAGGGAAUCUUCCGCAAUGGACGCAAGUCUGACGGAGCAACGCCGCGUGAGUGAAGAAGGAUUUCGGUUCGUAAAACUCUGUUGUUAGAGAAGAACAGCGCAUAGAGUAACUGUUAUGCGUGUGACGGUAUCUAACCAGAAAGCCACGGCUAACUACGUGCCAGCAGCCGCGGUAAUACGUAGGUGGCAAGCGUUGUCCGGAUUUAUUGGGCGUAAAGCGAGCGCAGGCGGUCAAUUAAGUCUGAUGUGAAAGCCCCCGGCUCAACCGGGGAGGGUCAUUGGAAACUGUUUGACUUGAGUGCAGAAGAGGAGAGUGAAAUUCCAUGUGUAGCGGUGAAAUGCGUAGAUAUAUGGGGGAACACCAGUGGCGAAGGCGACUCUCUGGUCUGUAACUGACGCUGGGGUUCGAAAGCGUGGGUAGCAAACAGG